GAGUGAGGGGGUGACUAGUGGCAGAGUGAGAGAAGGAAGGGGUGACUAGUGACAGAGUGAGGGAGGUGGUGACUGUCACUAGUCACCACCUCCCUCACUCUGUCACUAGUCACCACCUCCCUCACUCUGUCACUACUCCCUCCCUCCUUCUGUCACUAGUCACCCCCUCCAUCCCUUACUCUGUCACUAGUCACCCCCUCCCUC